CCGGCCGCGAGCCCGGUAUUUAAACCACCCCCCACCGUCCGCCGUCAGCAGACCUCCAGUUGUCGGUCAAGAGGACGGACUGAUUUCGCGCUCCUGCAGCUUGCGUCCAUAACAUAUCAACAUGCCUACCGGAAAGGAGAUGGGCCAGCAGGCUACCGAUAACCGAUCCAACCAGUUGAACCCGAACAACCCAACCUACCAGGGGGGAGCCAACCGACACACCGGCAACGCCGACUCCUUCGGGAAGUCGGCGGCCGACAACCGCUCAAACCAGAUGAACCCCAACAACCCCAGCUACCAGGGCAAGAAGUGAACGCUGCCGGGCCUACACGCCGCGGUAGCACUGCCAUCGUCCAGUGGCGGGAAACAUUUCCCACCAGCGGGUCGGGUGCCACAGCUGCGCUGACGCUUAUAUCCUGUUCAUUGAAAAUGAUUCGCUGAUCGCUCAGUAAACAUGUUAACAUGCUCCGUAAACUCGCUUAGGACGGCAAACACUGUGCCUCGUCUUUGUCAGAAUAAGUGAACAAUAAACUGAAACAGUAAA